CGUUGUUGUUGUCACGUCGUCACGUAUACAAAACUAUUUCGUUCUCACGGCUCAUCAUCAUGCGACGGGCCGUCCUGGUAAGUCGCUGCUAUAGGAUAUGUAAGCUUGACAUCUGCCGUGUCAGAAGUGUCAACAUCAGACUGUUUGGCGAGCCUUGAUGUGAAACAGCUGUUCUGGUUCAGCAGCAGUGGAAAAUGCUGCAUCUCUUCAGGAACAGAACUGUAAAACUGGGUACAUGUGUUUCUGAGGCGAUGCUGUGCACGAUCGACACGAUUCCAACAGAACCUUUUUCGUGUCCUAAUUUAGGCUCAUUGCUUGCAUACAAAAACCCCUUAACAGUUGGAAUGCAUGAGUCCCUUAUGUGUAAUAUUAAUCUGUUCUGUGUUUUCUUAAUGAUGUCCAUUUCAAAUUUAUUUAAAAGCAACUAUCUUCAGACUGCUGUCUCCUUUUAGUACAGUUCACCAGCUUAAAGAUUGCCCAAUUACUUUUCAGGGUAAGAUUUUCUUUAAAUCCUUCCAAUGAAACUGAAGAUUUUGAAGCGUGCAAAUAUUGACAUAUAAUCUAUUUGUGGAUGUCUAACAAACAAGCUGACAACUAAAAACGAGAAACCAAACAUGUGACUGAAAAUUGUAUGGAAGUAACAUGGAAAUAGUUUUAUUACUACCUUUUAGGCAAUACAGAUAAUUUCUCUUUAAUACCCUAUGAACGAAGAGUUUUCUUCAAGUAACGAUGGAGUUUACUAGCCUUUUAAAAUCUCUGAAGCAUUAAAAGUCUCAGAUGUAAUCGAUUCAUCGUGAUUACUUUUAAAGCGUUACUAGUGGAGAUAGUGUGAGGGCGGCCCAUCUCAUGAAUAACAUUUAUCAGAAUGUAAAAAAAAAUCUACAUAACCUCAAGCAGUAACUGCUUUUACUUAAAUCUCUUUUAAAUGUUCCUUAAUUGUAAACUUCAGAAGUACCUGAAUUUAUCAAUAAAGAAGUUCUGCUAAAUUAAAGAGUAGCUUGUCUGUAUGAUUUUUUUUGUAUUAAGGGUUAAAUACAUGCAGCUACAGCCAGUGAUAUGUGAACAGUUAUAUAACUUGGAUCCAUCCACCGCUUUACCAUCACUAUAUAAACAUCCCUUAAAAUGAGAAUGAUAUAA